rnacentral:rRNA from 1 species
AGUGAACGCUGGCGGUAGGCCUAACACAUGCAAGUCGAACGGCAGCACAGUAAGAGCUUGCUCUUACGGGUGGCGAGUGGCGGACGGGUGAGGAAUACAUCGGAAUCUACUUUUUCGUGGGGGAUAACGUAGGGAAACUUACGCUAAUACCGCAUACGACCUACGGGUGAAAGCAGGGGAUCUUCGGACCUUGCGCGAUUGAAUGAGCCGAUAUCGGAUUAGCUAGUUGGCGGGGUAAAGGCCCACCAAGGCGACGAUCCGUAGCUGGUCUGAGAGGAUGAUCAGCACACUGGAACUGAGACACGGUCCAGACUCCUACGGGAGGCAGCAGUGGGGAAUAUUGGACAAUGGGCGCAAGCCUGAUCCAGCCAUACCGCGUGGGUGAAGAAGGCCUUCGGGUUGUAAAGCCCUUUUGUUGGGAAAGAAAAGCAGCAGGUUAAUACCCCGCUGUUCUGACGGUACCCAAAGAAUAAGCACCGGCUAACUUCGUG